rnacentral:lncRNA from 1 species
AGUGGCUCAGGGAGACUUCAAGAUCUUCGCUGGAAGCUCUAAGGAUUGGAAUGUUCGAUUCAGCUUCAGUGUGAGCAGCUGUCAGGGCAUCUUUCUUGGAGAGCAUGUCCAUGCCUGGGUCUAUUAUCUUGUCCAAAUAGAUCGUCUGCCCAGGCAGACACAUCCUUUGUCAUCUUUGCUUGUUGUUUCCUGGGUUUCCUAGUACUGUCAAAUGUGACCUUGUGCCUCAGAAUCAUCAUAGACGCUUGGAAAUGGGAGAGAUCUUCUUAUCUCGUUGCUGAUCCAAUACCACAGCAUACACAUGGGGAAACUGAGUCGGUGAUGAACUAUUCACUGGCAGUGCCCCCCGCUCUGAAUUGGGUUUUAAGUGAUGACAAGUCUGCUGAGCCUCAGGUUUAGAGGAAACACCGUGUAGGAGGCAGGAGCGAACGUUUGCUCUGUUCCCAUGGAGCCCAUCAUCUACCUGAGACAACAAGGCAGAUGUCCGCAUAAACGCCAGGGCUGUCCGUGCUCAGGGGCAAAUCAGUGGAAUAGGUAAUACAAAGAGAAAGGCAGGUGAGAGCUCAAUGGGCUAACACGGUCAAGGUAGGCUUCCUGGGGGAAGAGGUAUUUACCUGGCCCAUAAAGAAUAGGUUGAAGCUGGGCAUGGUGGCUCAAGCCUGUAAGCUGAGCACUUUGGGAGGCUGAGGCGGGAGGACUGCUUAGGUCCAGGAGUUCGAGAUCAGCCUGGGCAACAUUGCAAGACUUUAUCUCUACUAAAAAUUAAAAACUUAGCCAGGGCAUUGUGGUACACACCUGUAGUCCCAGCUACUCGGGAGGCUGAAGCAGGAGGAUUGCCUGAGUCUAGGAGUUUGAGGCAGCAGUGAGCUAUGACUGCACCACUGUACUCC